AGGAGGAGCGGGAGGACGCGCUGCCGCCGGCCCCGAGGGGAACAGGAGCCACAGCCCCGGCAGCCGGCAGGAGAAGCGGGAGGAGCGCUGACUAACGGCGGGGAGCGGCUUUGGCAGGCGGCGAGCGGCAGCCGGCGCCACUCCCUCCUUCCUCGCUGAGUUCCCGCCCCGGUGUAUCAGGUGCAGCAGCUCCCCCUAGGCGGCCCCAGCUCCACGCCGCCCGGCCCGUCUCGAUUCGACCCGGCCGAGCCGUCCCGCCGCGCUCCGCCCCCUGCCCGCCCCCUGCGGGGGGAUGGCGCGCUGCCCGGCCCGCUACGGGUGAGGCCUUGGGGGUAAAGUUUGGAGAGCGUUCUGCGUGAGGACCGGGAGCCAGGGGACACCCAGCUCCAGCUCAGGUGUGGGGUUAGCGGUGCCAGAGCUUGGUUCCUUGUCUGAAAUGACCGUUAAAUUGCAAGUUAUCAGCGUAAGGAAAAAGAAAAAAAAAUCAUGUUUUCAUAGUUUGCGUGUGGACGUGCUGGUAAUUCCCACUCCCAUCGGCUGUGUUUCAGAUCCCAAAUUAAAUCUUGAGAAAGGAUGGGAUGCCCAGCCUUCAUUUCAUCUCUGUUUAUUUUGUGUAAUUAGCAUUACAGCACUGAGAAUGCCAGAGGUGCCUCCUCUGUUAAAAACAGCCACCAAAGCUCAGUGCCUUGAUUCCAGAAUAGGUGCAUUUGGAUGCAGGGACAGUUCUAACAGCAGUUGGAAAUACAGCCAAGAUAUCCAGUGCUGAUUUGUUGUCCGAAAGCAUUUCCAAAACAGAUAAUGAUGCACUGUUCCUUGGAGCUGCAUGUCAACUCUGCCCUGAAAAGAGAUUUGCAAAAAUCCUCAGUAAUUAGGUAUUUCUUUUACUGACUAUGCUCUAAGAAGCUCAUGUUUGUUAUUUACUGCUACCUGCAUACUGAAUAAUUACACUCCUGCUAUGCCUUUCUCAGAUACCAGGAUAAGAUUUGUCACAGUAGAAACUACCUGCAUCCUCUUAAAAAGGCAAUCUAUUCUUCCAGAAACACAGGUUUUCAUUUAGAUGAGGUCAAUGACCGAUAAUCUAUUUUGAGCUGCACUGUUUUUUAAUCACUUUUUCAUGUACCUGUUGGUUGUAGAAAACAAUGUAAAUGAUGGGAAAUUUUUGUGGUUUUACUUUAUGCACACAUACAUUAAAAACUUUGAACAUAAAUAUACUUUGUUUAAAUAAAAUCUGAUUAGUAAUGCA
rnacentral:lncRNA from 1 species